CCCACACAGGCAUUUGCUUGUGUCCAACAGACACACACAGGUAGUGUGUCUUGGAUUACCAGGAAUGUUGGAUACAGCAAAAUGGAGGGAGGCCAGAGGAUUUUUUUUCUGCGGGAUUAGCGUAGCAGCGCCUAAACUCACAAAGCAAGAUAUGUUGGCAGAAAGCCACUGUUUGAUGACAACAAGAACAUUUGAUGAAUGGUAACGUCUCUGCCAGCGUCUGGUGUGACAUGGCAGAUACUUGUGGUACAACGACAAUUGCUUUCUACACAACAUGGUGUGUGUCUCGGGUGUCAACACUUGUCAUCCCAUUCAUGCCUUUCCGCUAUUCUUGGUCAAACUGCCCCCAUUGCACCUUUGUUAGGAAGCUGGGAAACGUGCGGGUUUAAUCCGACCCCGAGCAACCCAGUCUUUUGUGUUCCGCGGAUGACGCACCAAACGAUUUAUUGAAAGGCCCGGCGAUUAUUAGUGGGAUGGCCACUAUUUGACACAAACCGAGCGCAGCCGAGGCCGAGGGUGCGGAGUGGCCGUUAAACAAGGAAAACCUGAUCCUGAUCCACAGACCGAAAGCGAGAACUCGUCCUGACAACUUUGUGACUGAUCAAAAGGGAGUUCUAAGUGACAUUUUGGAAUUCAAAUUAUAAAGGUACAUUCCAAGCCUUCCUUCAACUUUUGAUUAAUGUUUCAACAUGCAACUGAUUUUCAAACACGACUUUGGUCAAUCUGACCAAACUUUCUGGGUUGCUGUCAUAUACAAAACAAGGACCCGCGAUUCAAGGACGGUUCGAUUUGUGUAACGAUUCGUUACGAUGCGGCUAAGUUCUCCCGGACUCACAACAUGGACGCUUGAAAUCAACGGGGACAAGGCACAAUGAAAUUUCACACUAAACAGACAAGUUUGUUGUUGGCCUGGAAAUAGCACAAAGAUGGUUUUUUUGGUGGUGAGGGGCUGUUUUCACAUCAACCUUACAACUAACAUUUUUUUCUGGCAUCACCCAACGAUGAGGAAUCCAAAGUGAUGAUGACGGAAUCUAAAAGCAAUGACCAAAUUAAACAUUCAAAUACAAACAGAUGCCACUCAGCUCUACAUCUAGGAAAGUUUGAAAGAGAUAGCGGCCCAAGUAGCUGAGGUUCUAUCAUCAUAUCAAUUGUUCAAGGCUGCCGUCUUGAUAGCCGAAGCAUUUGGCGUCCUCGUUGAGAAGUCACAGUGACAAGAAGCGAAGGGGAAAACGAUCUUUGUCUUCUUCCUUAUACAUUUUAUGGCUGUUGUCCGAAGCGAUUUAUAAUCCGGAAAAUACGGUACACAUUCUUCUUGGAAUAACUGAAUGUCUCAUUUGUUUCGUGUGAAGAAUAUCCUUCUCUCCCAGUUUUAUUCUGCCAGGUGACAUAAAAGGAGAUUGUGAGAAAGGGAGGACCGUUUUAACUCCAGAUUAGCCCCAUUCAUCCACUACAGCUCAGUAGAGUGAGGUAAUCUAGUUAUUCAAUCGCGUGUACGGUCGGGUCAUUUGUGGCUUGAAUAGCUUGUUUCGGGGGACUAUCAAAAUACAAUAUUGAGGGUAGUAAUCUCAUUUGACAGGGGAAUACGCCCAAACAAGACGACUGGAAGAGAAGAACAAAAAGAACUAACAAGAGUGUUUUGUAUGACGCGGAGUAAAUCUCAUUAUGUAACAGCUAGUCUGGCACCUGGAGUAUUCCACACGUUACAUGUUGCUAUUGACAAUCACACGGCAACUAACUUAUGUCACUAUUCUACUUUUGGACUAAUUUGUGAUUAUCACUUGCACAGCCAUGUGAGAAGUCCAACAUUUAGGUGAUCUGGUACGGUCUACGGGAUUUCAUGGGAUGUAGUGAUAUAAAUAAAUAAACCAUUAACCUUU